AUUGAACGCUGGCGGCAUGCUUUACACAUGCAAGUCGAACGGUAACAGGCCUUCGGGUGCUGACGAGUGGCGCACGGGUGAGUAAUGCAUCGGAACGUACCCAGAGGUGGGGGAUAACGCAGCGAAAGCUGUGCUAAUACCGCAUGUGAUCUGAGGAUGAAAGCGGGGGACCGAGCAGCAAUGUUUGGCCUCGCGCCUUUGGAGCGGCCGAUGUCGGAUUAGCUAGUUGGUGGGGUAAAGGCCUACCAAGGCGACGAUCCGUAGCUGGUCUGAGAGGACGGCCAGCCACACUGGGACUGAGACACGGCCCAGACUCCUACGGGAGGCAGCAGUGGGGAAUUUUGGACAAUGGGCGCAAGCCUGAUCCAGCAAUGCCGCGUGCGGGAAGAAGGCCUUCGGGUUGUAAACCGCUUUUGGCAGGAACGAAACGGUGUCCGCUAAUACCGGGCGCUAAUGACGGUACCUGCAGAGUAAGCACCGGCUAACUACGUG
rnacentral:rRNA from 1 species